rnacentral:rRNA from 1 species
GACAGAGGGGGCAAGCGUUGCUCGGAAUCACUGGGCGUAAAGGGCGCGUAGGCGGGAUGGCAAGUCAGUCGUGAAAUCUCUCGGCUCAACCGAGAAACGUCGGCUGAUACUGCCGUUCUUGAGGGAUGCAGAGGAGACUGGAAUUCCCGGUGUAGCGGUGAAAUGUGUAGAUAUCUGGAGGAACACCGGUGGCGAAGGCGGCAUCCUGGACCGGCAUUGACGCUGAGGCGCGAAAGCUAGGGGAGCAAACGGG